UUUGAGAAAAAACAACGUUGUUGCGUGCACGAGUGUGUCCCAUGAGAUAACUAACUGAAGAUCGAUCUGACAAGUGACGGUUCACUCACGAAUGGUACACCGUUGCAUUGAUUCAUCAUCAGCUGACAUACGCAUCUGUGCUUAGUUUACAAUAAUUUUACAUCGUCGGGCACGUCCAGGCAGCUGCUAGCUGGUCUGGUCUGGUCUGAUCUGACGAGCUCACGAGCACAAAGCAAUACGCUGGCGCGUGCAACUACUACACGCCUACUCACGAGCAGAGGGCACAUCACUUGCCGGGGACGAAGUUGGUGGCGUACGCCCAUGCGUUGUUGGCGACGGGGUCGGCGACGUGGUCGAAGAGGUUCUCGAUGGGUCCCUUGCCGGUGACGAUGGCCUGCACGAAGAACCCGAACAUGGAGAACAUGGCGAGGCGGCCGUUCUUGAGCUCCUUCACCUUGAGCUCGGCGGCGGUGUCCGGGUCGUCGGCGAGGCCCAGCGGGUCGAAGGCGCCGCCGGGGUAGACCUUGUCGAGUCCCUCCCCGAGCGGGCCGCCGCCGACGCGGUAGCCCUCGACGAAGCCCAUGAGCACGACCUGGCAGGCCCAGAUGGCCAGGAUGCUCUGCGCGUGCACCAGGUUGGGGUUGCCCAGGUAGUCCAGCCCGCCCUCGGAGAAGAUCUGCGCGCCGGCCUUGAACCACACCGCCUCGCCGAACUUGACGCCGUUCUUGGCAAGGAUCUCCGGGAACACGCACCCCAGCGCGCCGAGCAUGGCCCACCGCGAGUGGAUCACCUCCAGCUCGCGGUUGCGCGCGAAGGUCUCCGGGUCGGCGGAGAGCCCCGCGGUGUCCCACCCGUAGUCGCCGGGGAACUCGCCGGUCAGGUACGACGGCGUCUGCUCCGAGAACGGGCCCAGGUACUUGGGGCGGUCAGGGCCGUACCUGCACGUACGUAGCUGAUGAUGCGUCGUCCAUGGAUCAAUCAUCAAGAGACAAAAGCAACUGACGAUGAGCAUGCACGUACCAGAUGCUCUGGGGAGCGCUCUUGACGGUGCGGCGCAUGGUGAUGCGGCCGCCGGCAUCGGCGGCGGCGGCGGGGCGGGAGACCAGGGCCUGGCCGAGGAAGCUGGUGGUCUGGUGGAGCGCCGACGCGGCCAUCUUCUGCGUGUCCGGUGAGCACGACGGCGCUGCUGCCUACUGGUCAGUCAGAUUGUUUUCGGCUGAUCGAGUGGUGG
rnacentral:lncRNA from 1 species